ACUCCGGGAGUUGGUGAUGGACAGGGAGGCCUGGUGUGCUGCAGUCCAUGGGGUUGCAGAGCUGGACACGACUGAGCAACUGAACUGAACUGAUCGUGAAACAUGAAAAACACCUUCUGAAAAGCAACAACAGGCAAAAAGCAAGAAACGAUCAGGCAGGUAAGACAGUUCACUUUCGGAAAGCGGUGGAUUUGGCCGAGUAUCUCUGAGAGCAUUGGUGACAGCCAAGGAGAAAUGUUCUGAGAGGACCCCUCUGGGCGCCCACUGCAGAGAGCCUGUCUCUUCCAAGGCCCGAAGGCCACUCGUCCUGCUGCUGCUAAGUCGCUUCGUCGUGUCUGACUCUGCAACCCAGUGGACCACAGCCCAC